GAACCUGCGCCCGGCUGAGCUGAGCGAGGCGAGAGGAGAAAGCGAGGCCCGGGGACGGGACUGAGAGCUCUGAAAGGAGGGAGGCGGCUCCCGAGUACUCCGCGCGGGGCAGGCCCCGGCCUCGCCUCUUCGCCCAUUUUUAAGGCUCGAGUUAGAGGCCACCUCCUCCGAGAAGCCUUCGGUGACACCACCUCUCCCAGACGGUUCCCCUUUCUGAUUCCCACAGCAUUUUCCAACCAUUCACGCCGUCUUCCUUCCUCAUUGUGGUUUGGACCUUCUCGAGAAAGAAUCUGGCCUCAGUCUCCCUCUUCCACACUCAGGGACCGCCACCAUCACAGGCACUCGGUAGAUGUCUGCUGAAUGAGGAUAACUUCUACCCAACACCGUGAAGCCUGGCCCAGGGUCUGGCAUACAGAUGCCGUGUUUGUAAGUGGCUUUUCUCAUCUGCAUAGUCUGUCCUCCUGUCUUUCCAUCCUGCUCCUGUUCCCACCGGCUCUGUCCUCUCCCUCAGAUGUCCAGCCACCACCUCAAUGUCAGCCGAAGCCCAGUGUCUCUCCAAAGCUCUUGAUCUCCAUUUCUGUCAGCGAUACCAUCAUUUCCCAGUCACUCCGUCCAGAAAGGUUGCUGCUACUUUGUGCUCCAGGGUCACUCUUCUCACUGCCCUCUAAGUAUCAGCAAAUCUACAGCCUGGAUCCCUCAACAGCUUGCCCAUGAUCCCCAUCUCUGCCCUGUAACGUGGUCCCCAUUCCAUGCAUGCCUGAACAUGCGUGACCCUGCUGCUCCGUGGCUCAUGUCCUUAUCUCCUGCAUACAUCAUUGUCUAUACCACGCCCCACCCCUGCCUCAAUCUCUCACACUACUGAAGUCCUGGUUGCUCAUCUCGCCCACUUGCACAGCCCACCUGUGUGGCCGACUCAGGAUUGACCCACCUGCUCUCUUCAGGCCAUAUUCCCACGCAGAAGUGGGUCCCACUCCUCAGGCCUCUGUGCUGGCCCCGUCUGUGGGGUUAGCAAGCAGCCCUGCUCUCCAUUUCCAGCUCAGAAGCAACUGGAUCGUUACCUCAUUGGUGACAACUUGACUGUGCUGCCCAGAGCUGAUAAGAAACAUCACCCGGGGAAGACCAGCUGCCUCUUCCUUGCUUCCUAAUCAGGGUGGAAAUACUGCUAAAUAUAUCACAACUCUUUGCAAGCA
rnacentral:lncRNA from 1 species